rnacentral:ncRNA from 1 species
UUCUUAUCAAGAGAGACGGAGGGACUUGGCCCUAUGAUGUCUCAGCAACCAGUCUGUCAAGACACGGUGCUAAUUCCAAAAGGUAUCCGCCUUAAAGAUAAGAA